CUGCGUUUUGGGAGCCGGAAGAACUGCUUUCCAGUGGAGAUAGCUGAUCAAAGGAGCGUAGCUGGAAGUCAUCAUCCAUCGGGAUGUAAGGAGCCAACAUCUCCAAGUCUAAAUCUGUUUCCUGGAAAACGAAAGAGGAGAAAAUGCAUUCAUUUCAGAGUUACCAGACUGGGCUCUUUUUAUUCUGAUUACUACAGAAGGGAUAGCCAGCAACUUCAGAAAGAACAACAUACAAGUCCUUCCGAGAGACCUCAAUGUCAUAUUUACAAUGCCAAAUCAAAAGGAAUCAGGUAUCAGUAUUUCUUUCCAUUCAGUCUCAACCUGAAGGCAGAUAUUCCUGCUCCAGAAAUGGCAUCUUGGUCUGAGAAGCUUGAGGAUCCCAACGUACAGGUGUACUCUAAAUGUCACUACUAGCAGCCCGAAAUGGACAGGCUGAGGCAAACUGAAUACUGAAUGUACAAUACUGAAAAAAUAUUCUGUUUUUUUAACCUGAUUAAAUAUUUCUUACUGAAAUCAGGCCUCAAGUAUCUUCUCUCUUGGAGGAAAACUAAGGGUGGAGGUGAAAAACCAUUCCCAAUUCUUUGUCCUUUUUCUGGACCACAGAUCUCACCGCUGACAAAAGGUAAAACAAGUAAUUAUGCUGCCUUAGACAGCUUCACCUUUAUACUUCUGCUUUUCCCCUUGUUAGCUACUCAUUCCAGAUCCCUUCACCUGUGAAAAAUCCACUCUACUACAGAAAGGCAAGGGAGAAUUACUUGAGGUAAUCGAUUUCCAUCUGCCUGGCUGCCAGAGCCUUACUACGGCUUCCCUUUAAACUGCAGACAGCACUUUUAUGUAAAAAAUGAAAAAAAAAUGCAAAGAGCUGCUCACCUCACCAAGUUCUCCCUUCCUCUUACAUUUUCUUCAUGAAAGCUCCAUGUUCUUGAAAAUAUUUCAGCCAGUUUCUAGAUUUUGUUUGGUUUUAGCACACUCGACAGCAGACUUUGACAGAAAAAGUGAGAACUUUAGGCCAAAAGUGGGGCCACUGAAUUAUUAAUUACCGGCUGAAAUACUGCUCAAAUCAAGCUCAUAGCGCCGCCGUUAAAAAUUAAUCCCAGAGCAAGAGAAUUGGGUGCUGCCUGCUGGAGCUCUGCCCGAUGUUACAAUGGGUGAAACUCAUGUAAAGCCAAAAUAUUAGUACCAAGAGCUGGCGUCCAAGUGGCAGACUCAGGUCUCCCUCUUACUAUAUAUUUCCUUACGAGAAAGGCUACUGCUAUAGAUAGAUGGUUAAACUGUACAGCACAACAGCUUGCUAUUUUUAGCUGUUGUUGAAAACUAAGCUGUAACUAAUCUCAGUAAAACCCAGCAAUUUAAAUAGGAAGAUUAAUCUCCAGCUUCAAAGAGCGUUUCUUUACUGGAUCAAAUUAAUGGGGAAAAGGUCUUUCACAAAUGAGGGUUAAUUACCCAGUGAAGUCAGAGUUACCUCAACAGGGGAUGUCACCAGAUACAAAAAAGAAAGGCAAAAAAAACCCUUUACUGUUGUAACUAAUCUGAGCUUUGUUGCUUCGAGUUGCACAAAGUAAAUGAAAAAGCACGGUGCAUGCAGCUGCCCACAAAUUUCUGCGUAGUCAAUUAAAGGAGUUUGAGUUCCCGUACAGAAAAUACAUCUCUGGAGUGAGCUCUGUCAGCUAGAAUAAAAAGGGAGCUCAAGGAAGGGGCCUUUAGACACUAAGACAUGAACUAGCACUAAGAUUAAAUAAGUCACACAAUUGAAGAGCCAUUUCAGAGUGUCUAUGCUUAAAAAUCAUGGUUUCCACAGCAGACGUAUCCUGUAAGGGGAACGGGAACCCGAGUCACAUUUAAAAGAAAAACAACUUCAGAGCUAUUGCAACCUUCUGCUAUCUGUUUCGCAUAAAAGAAAACCAUCUAAGGAUUCAGAAGAAAGAUCUCCAUUGAAGAGCAGAUUAUACAUGCAAUGAAAAUAUCAGAAAUGCCCAUUCUAGGCAGGAAAUUGCAUGCAUUUUCAGGUAUGUUUCCUGCCCGAUUUCAGUGCCAGACAUUCGUUUCCAUUUUGUGUUCCCACCACCAGAAUACAGAAGCAGAAAUCAAUCUAACGCAGGAUACACACCACAGCUCACAGAAAACAGUGCUCUGCUGACAAUUUUAAGACCAAUACUUGGCACAGCUUACACGUUAAAGAUAUUCACAUGUAAUGGCUGAACAAACAACCGAGUUCCCAAAGCUACCCGACUCAGACACCCGAAGCAAAACCAUAUUUCACCGCCAGGAUUCACUGCAGCUGAACCGAGGGCUCAGCUGAAGGAUAUUACCCAGGCUCCCACUCCUGCCCCAGACGAGAAGGGCUUUAAAAGAAGGCAGGAUGAAUAUAAACAAAGUUUUACAGCAGGCUUUCGCAGCAAGCAAGAGCCAGCCCAGCAGCCUUCAGACAGAGCCCACCAGCAGCAACCACGCGUGCACCAGUUACAGACGUCAACGCAGCCUCCGUACUCGAAUGUACAACUCCUGUAAUUACGGCCACACGGACUACUGGGGCCACGGCAUCUUUCUUAAAAAACGUGUUGUUCACCGAAUCAUCUCAAAAACCCCACCACAGCACGUUUCUACAAGCGGCUCCACGGUCUUCUAAAAAUAAUCCCGUUUUCCUCUCCUCAAGUAUAAAACCAGUCCAUGGCCACAUUGAAAGCUGCCUCGUUCCUCCUUACUUAACACGACUAACAGAGACCAAGAACAACCCUGGAAAAUGGCAUUAGUAACCAGUACUUUUAAAUUAAAGAUCGCUAAUGAGAUUUAAGACCUGCACACUGACCAAUUUUUAUACGUGUGGCAUAUGAACUUUGUCUCCUUCUAGUUUCUUAAAUCAUCACCCAGUGUCAAAGAAAACUACGCCGUGUACACAGCAUUACAUUAAGUUUUAUUUUCUUCUGUACAUUGCUUACUGCUAUUUAUUUUCGAUCCUUCCUAGCUGCACACUUGUUUGUACUGACUUACUGUUCCUCUACUCAGAUUUCUCCCUCUGUAGGUGUUUUCAACUCCCGUGUUAAACAGCUAUUGUGAACACGGGAAUUAAUCCAGCCUCAUCUUUCCUGAUUCAGGUCUGAGAACGUUCUUAAAAAAAAAAGUUAUAAACAUCUCGUGUUAGUGAUUCACAGUCUCCUUUUCAGAAUUGUUUUCUACAAUUGAGUGAAUUUGUAUACUGCAUUUAAACAGUUUCACAGAAGUGUACCAUGUGGAAAGAACAUAAUCCAAAUGAAUAAAGCAUCUCAAAUGCAGUAACAUCUCCUUAUUGAGCUUUAAGUGGCUUUCAGUUCUGAUCCCCUUCAUUUGCCAACACAAGAUUUCAUAUGCAGUGCUUCCGUGUCAGAAGCAAACUCUCCUGAGACCGUCAAACUAGCACCAGCAAUAGCAGGCUUGGAAGACCACCAGGGUCACAAAGAACACAUCUUCUACAACACAGCUUUGUUUUUCUUUAAGCAACAAAGAGGACAAGAUGCAGCUAUCGCAACAGAACCAUACAUUAACGCUGUAUGUUGAUUGAGGGUAUUUGAACUCGGAAAGGAGACGUGUAAGCGGCCUUGUGUUUAGCCCUUCAGGUUGAAUUUUCUCCUGCAGUUGCAAGGAAAUGGUCAUCAGCCUAAAAGGGAGCUUCUGCCAGCACAGCUGUGCGGGACAGAGGCACAGCUCCUGGUCCGCAGCCGCGUCCCAGCAGGUACCUCCACAGGGGCAUCGCCACACCGCUGUAACCAAAACCUCACGCCAACAGCUCUCACCUGCCACCACGCAGCAGUACACGUAGACAUGGGCUUGCUGGAAGGGCAUGGGCUGCCCAUAAGCAUGCUAGAGCAGGGCUCUGCUCUUCAGGCUGCGCUGAAUCAUUUGAUUUCGCUGUGGUUAGAUUCGCUCAGGGCUGCUGGUCACAACGCUUACCGAAUUGUUCUUCCAUGGAAAGAGGACCCAGACGAGCCCAGCGCUUACCACAAACUAGCACAGCACAAUUCAACUUCCAUAAAGAGGCCUUCAUAAGAAAACCAGGUUUACAAUAUAAGCAGAGCACCACUCAAAUCCGCUUUUUUAAACAUAGGGCAAGCGCACGAUGAAGUAUUUUUUAAAAACACACAAACAACCCCCAGCCCAUCUUCUGCCCAGCACACGCAGAGAAUAUGCCUGCUCGUCUUAAAAAACAGGAGGAAAGCCAGGCAGCGGGGCGAGGAAGAGGAGGGCCAGAGGACCUUCAUCCUGUGUGCCACCUCGCAGGACUGCCUGCUGCUGGCACCCGGCCUCCCGAGAGCAGGGAAAGGCAUUUCAGACGCCGCUCUCCGACACGUAACGCAGAGUCAGAACUUCCAGGUUGGUGUGGAAGGGCGCUCCUUCCUUCCUGCUCCAGCUGCGCUGCACAAUUAGCACGAGCUCUCAGCUACCGGCUCACGAUGAACUCCGGGCUGCGGCUUCAUCUCUUCUCGCUUUGAUGUGAUUUUAAGUACCACUGCUUUUGCCAUUACGGCCAAUUUAUCAGUUUUCCUUAUUGUGUAAUCUGUGUAGAAUAACCAACACCCUGAUCUCCUGCGCAGUCACAAGCAUGUGAUCUUCUAGAUGAAAGUCGUGCUCGUUAUGAAUUAAUGAACUUUAAAGCCCAGUAAUCUAACACAGAAAAUUAGUUACUAUAUUUAAAGAAUUUCUAAGAUUUUAAAAGAAAUUUAACGGCAAAAACUAGUGUAAUAUUAAGGCACAGAAACCACACUUCUAUAUGUAAACUAUUGGUUAAACUUCAUUCCUUUGUACAUUUUCUUCUGACAAAGCAAUUUAAGCUGCUUUCUUUACAUUAUUAUGGUUAUUUAAGGGCAUUUAACAUAAUUUGAACACCACUAAAAGCCUUUUAACUGAAAAAAAAACUAACAAAUUAAGAGCAAGCAGACAGUUCAAACUGAGUUAGCUUCUGAACGAGCAGUGCUUUGAAACCCAUUGCUACCUGCAGAGUGACAGUGGGGGCUGGCUCUCCUUGAGAGCUACAUGGUAAGCAAAAUACAGGGAGAGAUUUUACUACCAGGAGCAUGAGGUCUGUAUAAACAGAUGUCUUACAAACAGGUAAAUGAUGGCAUAAAAGAGCCAGCAGCAGUCUGGCACUCCUAAACCUAGUGCGAGACCACACUUCCAAGAUUAUCCAUCAACUGUGUUUGGCCUUGUGCUGACCUGGAAACCCUCCUGCUCCCUGCUUAGAAAGCAUAAGAAGGUAAAAGCUUCCAAAUUUAGUAUUUCUAAUUAUGAACAUGGUGAAGUGAUUCUGCUGUGUCUUACUAUACAGUGUAACCCCCAGAUAUUUUCACUGUGCAUAGUAAUUUACUGUGUAAAAAUAACCAUAGGACAUACAAAGGCUGUUUGUAAGAAAAUUCUGACUUUUUUUUUCAACCAUUUGGCUGUUUUCUUUUAAAUAGCUGUACUCUAUCCUUCAGGAGAAAUGAUGCGUGGUUGUUAAAUCAUGCUUAUUACUGAAGAAAAAAACCAGCUACACGAAGAUGAUGCCUGGACAGAACUAACCUCCAAGUGCUCACCCCCCCUCAACACUCUUGCUGUUAAUAGCUCUUGCUUCAGCCAGGCUCACAAAGAUGAAAAACACAUCCCUAAGAUGGGUUCAUCACUUGACCUCGCAGCUAACACUGUUUUAGUUAGGAACUAGUCUAUCUUCACACAGGCGGAGACUCGAGUUUUCCAGAGCAGAGGCUGAAGGUUUUUCCUCACUGCUUCAACACAGGUUCUUCGCCUUGUCUCUUCACCUUGCAUUCCUCAACUGCUUUCGCCUAGCAGGGUAUUUCAUGAUCAAAGGUUUUGUUUAAGAACAAAUUAAAAAAAUAGAAAUAAGCGAUAUAAAAUUUUAUUUUUCUGUAUGAAUAAAGAACAAACAGAUCCACUGAGCAGUCAAGAAAAAUGCUUACAUCAGUAGCCAAGAUAAAGAGCCUGCCGCAACGUCAGUUCUACAGCCAGUAGAUUCAAUAGUUUGCAAGAAAAAAAGCCUCUUCUGAAGGACUGAGCACUGAAUACUCCUGUUAUCAGCUGAAUCGCUUCCAUUUAGAGUGUCCUGUUCGCAGCCUUUGUACUUGACAUGAUUACUUCAAGUCUUCUGUUCCGUGGAAUAUAUUCCCAUCUCUUCCAGCAGGUGUAAGCAUGGGGAAAAUAUGAGGAGGCAAGCCUCUGAACUCCCUUCCAGCCUAGCUGGUUCAUUAAUAACUCUCAGUUGUGAGCAGCAUGAAAUAAUUCCACAAAAACAAGGUUCCUGGCCUCGGUGUUCUUUUCCUUCUUGAAACAUAAUCUUCCUAAACCAAAACCAGAUGGGCGCUAUCGGUUAAGACUGACGGGAUCACGAUGCAUUCUGGUAAACCACAGGGGGCAGCUUUUUCAGGUAACACGUCCAGGAUCGUUACAAAAGGAGUUGAAAGGGAUACUUAGUAAGGUACUUGGGAUAUUAAUGAGUUGUUUGGUAAAACCUUCCGCUGCUGUAAAUAUAAUAGCAGAAAUUUCUUCACACAAACGCGAUGAUUCAGUUCCCUCAAUUCUUCACUUGAAAUUCAGGCUCUAUUUUAACGUGGCGAGUUAUAAAAUCUGUUGUAACAUUUUUCCUCUGAAUGCUUAACAAGCAUUCAUUCAUACCACCCCAAAUUAAACAGAAUUUGCAGUUUCUCUAGUCUAUAAUGCACACGGCAUUUAUUAUGUAUUAGAUAUCUUAAAGGAACUAAGAAUGGAUCUACUUGAAGCACCAGUUCUCCACCGUCCGCAGACACCAUGUGAAAAAGGUUGGUAAAAACAUCUCAAUAUUUUAAAACAACACAUUUUUGUACAAGUCACUGCAUCAUCAGGCUGCAACAGAAAGAAAUGACGAAUUAUGCAUAUGACGAAACCCAUCAAUGCACUUCGAGAUAUCAGUUCUGAUAUCUUGGAUCAAAUCCCCAGGCUGGUACGAACAGGCAUAGCUUCAAUGAACCCGUGCUAAUUUACAUCAACUGAGGCUAUGGCUCCACAUCAAAGAAGCCUAAAGCAUUCGUCACCAACAUAAACUGUAUUUAAAAAUACAUAUAUGCUGGCAUGUAUUCACUUGACUUCAUGUUUCUAAAUUUCAGAGCUUAAUUUUCAUAGAGUUUUAUUUUAAGAUAAAUAACAGAUCUCAGUAGAGGAAAAACUUAAUAGCAUUCACAUCCAACUCUAAUUUGGAAACCUGUAUCAUUCCUGAAUUUUCAUUCAUUAAUCAAAACGCAAAGGCUCCUCUUUUCUCCUGGGCCAUUUCUGUAGUUCCCAAUGUCAUAAACGCCCCAAGCACCUCCUGUUUCAGAGCGAUACUCGGUGCAAAACAGAUUCUCCUGCAUGAUCUUCUGCCUGCCCUAAUACAAAAGGGGGUUCUUGAGAGAGGCUCCAAAAUGCUCAAACUUUCUCAAAUCCAAAAGAGAAAGGGCUGUUAUGACAUGAAAAGAUGAGUAAGGCCUACGUUCUUUCCAUGCAUUGCCUAGGAUUUUUUGAGGCAUGUAAACACCUGCCUAUGUUGAGAUAAAAGCAGCAUUUGGGCUGAUGACUCGCAAUCUGGAACGUUCCUUCCUUUUGGACAUCAGCUAGCAACACAAGAGGUGGGAAACAGGUUACUACACCUUACUAAGGUUCUUGCAAGAUGUGUUUUUGUUUUGAAGUUGCUUUGUUUUUAAAGAACACACAUGGUAAUCUGAUCUGUAUUUGCAUCUCCUUGAAAGAGCAGUAUCAUCAGGAAAAUCUGGGUACUCCCGUUGCCACUGCUGAACCAGGCGGUACCUCCCACCUGGGUUUACUUCACAAUGCAUAAGAAUUAUUUUGUUGGCAUAUCAUAACACCAAGCUCUUCACAAAUAAGUGGAGACAAUACUGCUGAUUUUUUCCCCUGCAGUACACAAAACUGAAUACACAAACCCAGUGGUUUCUGCGAUACGACAUCCCCCUGAACUCUGGAAAGUCUCAUGAGAGCCUAGCUGAAAUCCAGCCCUCUAACACGCAUUAGUGUAAUUUUAUUACCGUGCAGAACAAACGCACAAGAAUUUAAUCCAUUUUGUUAGAUCGGCUCGGUGAGAGUCUCCACGGCUUUCAGAUCAGAAGCACACCAAAGAACAGGCACACUCGUAGGAACCUCAGAACGGCUCGUGCUUACACCACAACACUGCUGACAUUCGCUGGUGCUGGUAAGAGUUGAUUUUGUUCCUUUUCCACUUCGCCAUCAGCAAUCAGACUCUUGGAAACGACUUUACGAACUCCAGGCAUACAAUUCAAGGAUACGAAGGAACAAAGGUCUACAAGCUGUGCUCACAACAUGAGGAGGAGGAAGUAAACUCUGGCUGUUGCAUUGCUGCCCAGUCUUACUCUCGGUAACAGGACGGCCUCUCUCCAGGAGGCAGCAGGAUUGGCACGGCACCGCGUGUCCACCCCGCUUCGCAAGGCUUACAGAACCCUAACGUAGCCUUAACCUAAGCUAAAGAAGCCCUCGAUGGCCAUUCCUCAGGAAAGGGAAGCCUACCAGAAAAUGGGGAUCACAAUUAGAAGAAGAAAUAAGGUGGAUUAUCAACUUUACACCUCUGCCUUUAAAUCGAUAGUUCGCUAAUUGCCAGGCUUUGGGUGCCAUGACCAGUACACAGCUACAUCUGCCCUCCCCACGGCCCAAAACGCGUCAAGGUAAGCCUCCUGAGAAACAAAUAACAUUUAUACAGAAGGUAGCUUCCCAAAAGAGCUUUAAACUACAUAAAAUAAAAACCUUUUACCAUCCCAGCCCCCCCGACACAUCUACAGCAGACCUCUCCACAAGGACCACUCGCGGCUGUUCCAAGCACGCCAGCCCAAGGGCCCCAGACAGAGCAAAUAUCACUGAACAAAACCCAGAAAUCUUCUCCUGCUACUUCCAUGAAUGUGCUACCAGAUACUCAAAUCUCCACUGAUACAAGCAGACCAAAGUGCCAAGAGUUGAAAAUUUUAAGAAGUGUAUCUGCAGUAGGCAAACCCUCCCCAGCUGUUCCUCCCCGGUUUUCUGUGCCUCAAUAACCACGAGGCAGAGCUGCAGCAACGUGCUGUUGCCUUCAUCUUUAGUGGGCACUGAAAAGUAGAUUCCGAUCACUUUUGCUGAAGAUACUUCAAAACCAUUUUGCGUUUGAGGAAGUGACAAAGAACAGACAACUCAGGCAAUACCAUUCAAGUCCUAAGGCAAGCCAAACAAUCCAGGAAAAUCCAGAAAGCAGUAAAACCAACCACUUCUAUGUAAGCCAUAAACCACUCUCCCCUCCCCGUACCUGCAAGUGGAUUCUGCAUAAGAUUUAGAAAGUUUUCUCCUCUUCAUACAACACAGAAAGGUACAGUUAUAGUAUAUACAAAAGGGUUUUGUGUUAGCUUUCAACCCCAUUAACAGCGGCUCAGUACCACCAGCACUGAAAGAAAUUAACAGGCAAAAAGCAGUGUACAAUCCUAAAAACCUCACAUAGGUUUAAGAAAGCCAGCAGCAGUCAUUGCCCCUUUCACAGGCAGUGGCACAGGACCAGGGCUUCUCAGCCAGAUUCUGGAGCCGGACCACAGUGGCAGAGACAGAACAGAAAACCCCUGGUUUUUCAGAUCAUCCUUUCAGAUACCAGACGAUACAGUUCAAGUACCAACUAUGAGAAACUGAAAAGCUGAAGUUUUUCUGCAAGACGCUCAAGUCAGGAUGUUAAAGCAUAGUGCUUUAUACCAUCUUAAGUCUGGCACUCAAGAAAAUACUUUUUAGAAACCUUCUGCUUGUCAUUUUUAUUUAGCACUCAUACCAUUACAUAUAUAUAUUUACGCUACAAGUAAGGACUUAAAACAAUCCAAGAUUCAUUUUUCCAAUGUAUCUAUUUACCAGCUGCAGGCCCUUACCAAAGCAACUAGUAACCCUGGGUGGUGCAUUUACUUAAAGCGUUGCAAGAUGUGCUCUCCUAAUAGCAAAGUGUCAUACCAAAGAACUGAGGAAAAACUUUUCAUGGCAUGAGCCAUCUGUAUACUACAGUUCGUUAAAAGAAAAUUGAGAAAGUCAAAUUUCUAUAUAAGAGCCUUAAAUUUGACUAAAAUGGGAGUUAAUAAGCAAGCAAAGCUCCCAACAAUGCUCUUUUAUUCACUCUAUAUGCAGAAACAAACUGAGUCCUUGAAACACGUGAAAAAAGACCAGGAGCACACAAAAGUGACCCAGGUACUGAAGAACAGCUAAAACCCACAGAGCCGGCAAUACAUAACAGCAUUACCCAUGCAUACAGGGGGUCAGGAUUCUGUAAGAACUCAAGUGAGAUCUACAGAAGUUCGGGACUGCCUAACAGAAUGGGUUCAACAAACCUGUAAGUGAAUCUGUGCUAACAGUUACUAUGAUGACGAGAUUUCACUUAUGUAAGAAUGAGGGACACACUGGGUCAAAUUUCAUAAUUUCUGCAUCCCACAGCACAUAAUUAGCAAACAACAAGCUUCACUUUAACUCUCAAGAGCUAAACACUACCCAAACACAAGCACACAGAGGGAUGAGGAGCGAAACAAGCCCAACGCAUGGUGAAAGCAAGGCACACUACAUCUACAAUCAGCCAAAGUUUUAUCAUCGAAGAACAGUCUGGAAGGUAUUUUCCCUAAAGGUAUCCUGAACAGGGACACUGGCAAACCUAAAGCCUUCUAAAACAACCCCCCGGUUCUUGAGCAAUGUUUGGGAUUUUCAAUAAGUUCUCUUGUGAGCUCACAUCCUUCCUUUUUUGCUUAGCCAUCUUUGCUCAACUGCAGACUCGCAGCCCCAGGAUGAGCGUACCACAGACACAGCUUUAUGUUUUAAUUUAAAACAUACCCUACAGAGGUAACCUCAAUAUUCCUUGCUAUUUUAUAAGAAACAUUCCCAACCUUGAACUUGGUCUACAGGAAGCAGAAGGCAACAAAUGCUCUUUCUUAAGCUCUCCCUUUAGGAAGGGCAGGAUAAGCUACGCAUACUGAUUCUUACAUUCUAAAGAAAGCAGAUUACAUCCAGGACAAGGAAAUUGCAAAAAAAAAGUACCCAAGUGGGACAGAAUGGUAAGUAAAAAAAAAUAACAAACGCUCGAGGACAAAGCAAACAGCAACAGAAGAAAAAAAAAAAGUCUCAAAGCCCCUUUCCAGCCUUGCCACCAAAUUAGGCCAGCAGAGCACAGAACAGAACAAUCAUUUCUGUUGCAACAUUUUCUCUGCAGCUUCUCAAUAGUUAUUAGCUUUGAGAAGAAGAAAAAAAAAAAAGGUUACAGGACCGUAGAUAUUUCAUUAGACUAAAAGCUCCUGCUCCUCCACCCCACCACUCUCACAACUUGAAAUCAUCAUUCAGAUGAUACCGUCCUGGAGGUGAAGCCCAGGGGCAGAGCACUCCGUAUUCCCGAGCCCCACGCUCUGCAUACACAGCUCCGGCUCAGCACAAAGCUAAACAUCCAUUUUAAAGGCCAGCAACUCAGACUCCCUUCCAAGGCGACUUACAUGCUUCAUCCUCAC